UAUCUUUAGCUUCGCUUCUACUUCCCCUGGACACUCCAAACUCCUCUAAGGCCACCUUACGAAUACAACAACAACAAAGCCUUUAGGUAGGCUAGAGGUGAAACCCAUAAGACCUCACGACCAACUCAUGGUUCUGGCAUAUGGAUAGCAAGCUUCUAUGCAUCCCUGUCCAUGUCUAGUUCUUUGGUGAUGCUCCAAUCCUUUAGAUCUCUCUUUACAGACGCUUCCCAUGUCAAGUUCGGUCUACCCCGACCUCUCUUGACAAUAUCAGCAUGCUUUAGCCGUCCGCUAUGCACUAGGGCUUCUGGAGGCCUGCGUCCGUCCGCUAUGCACUAGGGCUUCUGGAAGCCUGCGCUGAAUAUGCCCAAACCAUCUUAGACGAUGUUGGACAAGCUUCUCUUCAAUUUGCGCUACCCCAACUC
rnacentral:lncRNA from 1 species